UGGCGGGCAGUCCGGGUGGUUCGGCGUCACCUAUAACCCGAAAUCGUCGAUAGGCGGGGGGCGAAGCCGACGGAAGACUUCGAGCUUGGCGUGCUCAGUCCAGUUGCAGACAAUGAUUCUCCGUCCUGCUGGGAUGGCACCGGUCCGCGGGCCUUCCUGAAGGAAGGUCUGUGUACCAUAAUUGCAGGCAUCGGUUCAGGCCCGGAAGGGAGCAAACCCACUGCGGGUAACUAUCGCUUGCAGGUUUUUGGGGAGGAGGACGCUUCGGGAUUAACUGGCGCGCAGGCUUGCUGGCAACCGCUGGCGUGCCCGCCA
rnacentral:SRP_RNA from 1 species